rnacentral:rRNA from 1 species
UGGACUUGGAUGUUGCCGUGUCAUUACGGCUUGUCUCGAAUGNCUGAGUGNACCCUGNUUUGNNNCGUAUCCNNUGUNAUGAAUACAUUUCACUAGAGUUGGUACNAAAGACCGCGUUUGCGCAUUUGGGUCUAUGCUUCAAACCGUCCGCUAUGUGGACAAUUUUUGACAAUUUGACCUCAAAUCGGGUGGGACUACCCGCUGAACUUAAGCAUAUCAAUAAGCGGAGGAAAAGAAACUAACAAGGAUUCCCCUAGUAACGGCGAGUGAAGAGGGAAAAGCUCAAAUUUUGAAUCUGGUGUCUUUGACUCCCGAGUUGUAAUCUAGAGAAGUGUUUUCCGUGUCGGACCGUGUACAAGUUCCCUGGAACGGGGCGUCAUAGAGGGUGAGAAUCCCGUAUAUGCCACGGACUACCGAUGCUCUGUGAUACACUCUCAACGAGUCGAGUUGUUUGGGAAUGCAGCUCAAAAUGGGUGGUAAAUUCCAUCUAAAGCUAAAUAUUGGCGAGAGACCGAUAGCGAACAAGUACCGUGAGGGAAAGAUGAAAAGCACUUUGGAAAGAGAGUGAAACAGUACGUGAAAUUGUUGAAAGGGAAGCGUUUGAAGUCAGUCACAUCUGUUGGGGUCAGCCUGGCUUCUGCCUGGUGUAUUUCCUUUCCGAUGGGUCAGCAUCAGUUUCGACCGAGGGAAAAAGACAUUNNGAAUGUGGCUGUCUUCGGGCAGUGUUAUAGCCCUG